CUUCGGCGACCCGCUGGCGGCGUGCCUAACACAUGCAAGUCGAGCGAAGUGAUUUCGAAUGAAAUUUUCGGAUGGAUUUUGGAAUUAUCUUAGCGGCGGACGGGUGAGUAACGCGUGAGAAACCUGCCUUUCACAAAGGGAUAGCCUCGGGAAACUGGGAUUAAUACCUUAUGACACUUUAACCUCGCAUGGGGAAUAAGUUAAAGCGUAAAGCGGUGGAAGAUGGUCUCGCGUCCUAUUAGCUAGUUGGUGAGGUAACGGCUCACCAAGGCGACGAUAGGUAGCCGGCCUGAGAGGGUGAACGGCCACACUGGAACUGAGACACGGUCCAGACUCCUACGGGAGGCAGCAGUGGGGAAUAUUGCACAAUGGAGGAAACUCUGAUGCAGCGACGCCGCGUGAAUGAUGAAGGCCUUCGGGUCGUAAAAUUCUGUCCUUGGGGAAGAUAAUGACGGUACCCAAGGAGGAAGCCCCGGCUAACUACGUGCCAGCAGCCGCGGUAAUACGUAGGGGGCGAGCGUUGUCCGGAAUUAUUGGGCGUAAAGGGUUCGCAGGCGGUCUGAUAAGUCAGAUGUGAAAGGCAGUGGCUCAACCAUUGUAAGCAUUUGAAACUGUCAGACUUGAGUUAAGGAGAGGAAAGUGGAAUUCCUAGUGUAGCGGUGAAAUGCGUAGAUAUUAGGAGGAAUACCAGUGGCGAAGGCGACUUUCUGGACUUAUACUGACCCU
rnacentral:rRNA from 1 species